rnacentral:rRNA from 1 species
CCAGACUCCUACGGGAGGCAGCAGUGGGGAAUAUUGGACAAUGGACCGAGAGUCUGAUCCAGCAAUUCUGUGUGCACGAUGAAGUUUUUCGGAAUGUAAAGUGCUUUCAGUUGGGAAGAAAUAAAUGACGGUACCAACAGAAGAAGUGACGGCUAAAUACGUGCCAGCAGCCGCGGUAAUACGUAUGUCACGAGCGUUAUCCGGAUUUAUUGGGCGUAAAGCGCGUCUAGGUGGUUAUGUAAGUCUGAUGUGAAAAUGCAGGGCUCAACUCUGUAUUGCGUUGGAAACUGUAUAACUAGAGUACUGGAGAGGUAAGCGGAACUACAAGUGUAGAGGUGAAAUUCGUAGAUAUUUGUAGGAAUGCCGAUGGGGAAGCCAGCUUACUGGACAGAUACUGACGCUAAAGCGCGAAAGCGUGGGUAGCAAACAGGAUUAGAUACCCUGGUAGUCCACGCUGUAAACGAUGAUUACUAGGUGUUGGGGGUCGAACCUCAGCGCCCAAGCAAACGCGAUAAGUAAUCCGCCUGGGGAGUACGUACGCAAGUAUGAAACUCAAAGGAAUUGACGGGGGCCCGCACAAGAG